rnacentral:tRNA from 1 species
GCCCAGGUGGUGGAACAGGUAGACACGCAGGACUUAAAAUCCUGUGGGCAGUUAAACGCCCUUGCGGGUUCGAUUCCCGCCCCGGGCA